GGGGAUGACACAGCUUUAGACGAAGAGACCUUAACAAUCUGUCCCGCGUGUUGACUAGUGAACACAAUUCACCAUUUUAAUUGCAAAUUCAUUUGUAACAGCAGUUCGUGAUGCUGGUAAGUCUUUUGUUGCUACCCUUCGGGGCGGCUCUGAAGCCUUCCAGUUCGCAACUGCGCCAGCUUUAGUUUAAUCUAGAGCCAUCGGUCGUAUGACGUCAGAUAGUGCGUCGCCGGUGUCAUAUUUAUCUGACUUGGUUUUCUAUGGCUUAUCAGCGUAGAAUUCGACACUUUACUGAUUACGAAUAGUUGGUUUUUUGUUUGUUCUUACAUCCAAUAGUUCGUUAAAUUUUAGAACAAACUACACACGUAGAAGGUCAGAUAGUUACUUUUCGGACGCGGGUGCAAUACCCGCCAUCUCCACCA
rnacentral:tmRNA from 1 species